rnacentral:misc_RNA from 1 species
GAUGAAGAACGCAGCGAAAUGCGAUAAGUAAUGUGAAUUGCAGAAUUCAGUGAAUCAUCGAAUCUUUGAACGCACCUUGCGCCCUUUGGCCAUUUCGAAGGGCAUGCCUGUUUGAGUAUCAUGAACACCUCAACUCUUUAUGGUUUUCCAUGAUGAGCUUGGACUCUGGGGGUUUUGCUGGCUCACAGUCGGCUCCUCUAAAAUGAAUCAGCUUACCAGUGUUUGGUGGGUAUCAUGGGUGUGAUAACUAUCUACGCUUGUGGUUUUUCCACCAGGUAACCUUCAGCAGUGGAGGUUCGCUGGAGCUCAUAGAUGUCUCUCCUCAGUGAGGACAGCCCUUUGAAUGUUUGAUCUCAAAUCAGGUAGGACUACCCGCUGAACUUAAGCAUAUCAAUAAGCGGAGGA